GUUUGUUGUGUUUGAAACCUAAAUUUAUUUUGUUAAUUUGCGGCUGCACCCAAAACUCGAUCGGGCUGCCUACGUACCCUUUUAAAGGGAUCAAGCCACUCGUAGUUCAUCAUUUUAUACUAAUUAUCCACCUUCAAUAACAAUUGUGUCGAAUCUGGAAUUUGUGUGGGUGUAAGUCCUCAAAUUGAUAAGGACACCAAGUUCUCAAUCCCACACUUCCUCUCAUUUUUUCCGAUAGUUUCCUAAUUACAUACCAUGCUCGCUCAUAUUAAGUUCAUCGUCACAUUCCAAUUCACCUUUAAGCUUGCUCAAAUCAACACUUCAAUUACUAACCUAUCUCUGAUUUUACUAUGGACACCCAACACCUCUAUUUGGGAUUCCUCUUGCUUCUGCGAUUCUUCCCAAAUCCAAUACCAUGCUCAUUCUUUUUCACCAUUCUACAAUAUCGUUCUAGGCAUACGAACUUACUCAUAAUGAACAAGUACACCUACAGAUACUUUCAUUAUCCAACUUAACAUCUUUCUUCUACUUCCUCUAUUUCUGAGAUCAAACCUCCAUUUGACAAAACAUCAUAAAUCAACAGAUACAUGAAACCACCAAAAUCAGAGUAACAAAAUUAUUACUCUCACUCCCAACAACACCAACACAAUAACCUGAUAUGAACAACAAAUCCAAAAUCAUCACCGCUGCCAAUUACCGCCCCUGCCAACACCAACACAGUACUCCAAAAUUCCAAACCUUCAAUUUUCAAUCAAACUGCAUCUCAAGUACACAGAGAAUAUGAAAUUCGAAACCAGAUAUGAAUCAAACACCUUCACCGCCGCCGUGCACAGCAGCACACACGGCGGUCCUCCUUUGCCAAAACCCAACUUCUUCAAAUCCCAACCAAUCUCAAUUUUAAUUAUAUAAACAGGUAGAGCUCGACUAACUGACCCAUUUUCAUACCUGAGUCGACAUCAAAGCACACCGGAAUCCGUCGAACUCUCGCCGAAAAAUUUAAACCACUCCUUAACAUCGGUUCUCACUCACCGGACCUCAUCUCAGCAAGCUGAAGGCACAGGAACGUCGACAAGACCGAGACAAAGCUACCAACACCAUCCACGCCCGCCGCCGUGGCCGGAAUCGAGAACUUGCCGGCAACCCAAAAAAGUUUCCUUUCUUCGAAUCUCUCUCUCCUCAGCUUCCCAUGAAAAUCCAAUGGCACAGAGACGUCAGGGAGAACGAGACCAAACUGCCAAUACCGGUCAUGCUCGCCGCCGUCGCCGGAAUCGGAAAUCCGAUCGUAAACCCAAUCACCUUCUGUCCUCCUUUACUCUCUCACCGGAGCUCCACUCUUCAAAAUGGAGUCACAGGGAGAUUGGGGACGUCGAGACGGGCCUGUAGAUACCAGCCUUGCACCGGAAGGCGACCGGACGACGAAGGAGGGGGUUGAGCUCCGUCGCUGCCGAGCCGCUCUCCCGACCAAGUCGGUCUGCCUUUUCUACUCCUUUUCUCUCUCGAACCUUCUUUUACUCUUCCUCCCCCCCUUCUCGACCCUUCUCCUUUUCUCCAAAAAAAUAUCCACAUCCCUUUACCGGGAUAGUAACCUUCGGUAAAGGGAACUUUCCAUUUUAGACCAUAACUUUCUUAUACAAACUCCGAUUUGAGCGUGCCACGUGUCCACGAACUCGUAUUAACGUCCUCUACGACUUCCAUGAAGGAAGUUUUCCCAAAUUAUCGACUUAACGAAAAGUCAACCUUUGGAUCUUUUACGGUAAAACGGUUACAAGAAACAAUAAUUGAAAAUUUACUAUAAACUUCAUAAAUUCAAAGAACAUAGCUCGUCGCUCCGAAAAAUAAUCCGGGCAUACCGAUGAGCUCGUAUAAACGUGUACCACGACUUCGGAGUUUUAAAUCCACUAUUUACCGUUUUUAGAAAAACUCGAAAACAACUCGAGCAAUCACUAUUUAAAUCUCUGAGCGCGAAUAAAGAAAAAUUCGCGGUAACUCAUAACCCCGAAUAGUAACCUUUUAGGUACGGGGUAUUACAAUCUUUCCCCUUAAAAGAAAUUUCGUCCACGAUUGGUUAAAUGGUCAAUACCCAUAACAAUUCACUUUCUUUUCUAUGUCGGGCUUCAGUACCCAUAACAUAUUUUUCCAUUUCCCUACAUGGGAACUCGACUUUUACUAGUCUCAUAAAUCAAUUCCGAAGCUAAUCAUCUUAAGUACCAAGGGUUCCUAUUUUACCAGGACACCACUCUACUUCGAGUAAUUAUUUCGCUUCCUCAAAACAAAUAGGAGAUAACAAUAUCUAAUCUCAUCGUCAUUACACAAUAAUAUCCCAUCAACAUGGUCUAUGGAUUACUUGAUCCGUAUACAUUCAUUGCAUAAACACGCCAUAAUCUAGGACAUUAAGUCCAAAUAGGCAUAAAUAUAAUUACCUACCCAACCAAGAAGUCAAGUCCUCCUAGACUUAUCGACUCAACAAUGAAUGAGUCAACGUCGUCGUCAAUAUUUUACAAUCUUCGACGACCAAAUAAAAAAUGAAGGAAAUGUAUCUCUCUAUCAAUCAAACACCAGCACAAGGAGAUCAAUCCUCGUAAAAGAUCAACGUACACAAUACCGGCUAUACUUUUAGCCUUCCAUACCUCAAGUAUGAGGAAAAACACAGUGAAACUCCAUAACCGGCUUCCACAAUUAAAUCCAUGAUUUAUCGUGUGAGUAGAAGGUAUCUCAUCACCCAACCUGAGUUUGUUAUGCACUCGCUAUCCACGAACUCAGUUCUAAUUAUCAUUUACGUGACAUGAAGUCUAUGAAUCAUCAUACACGAUAUAAGCUGCUUUCCAGCUUCCCACAUCUUAAAAAAAUGAGGGAAAUACGAUGGCACUCUAUAACCAGGUUUAACUUCAAAACUCAUUGUCUAAAAACAUCAUAGUAAGUAUCUUAUACGAUCCAUAUAUGUUGUAUACUUACAUAUAACCGCGUCCUUACAUUAACAUAACAAUUCCUUGACCAUGAAGAAACGAUAACUACCAAUUAGCUUAUCAUAACUAUUGCUCAUUUACAGCAACAUAGCACAAAUCAUGUUCUCUAACUUAGAAUAUAUCAUAUAACCAAAGACUCAGACCACACGACACUAUGUCAUCAUGGUAGUCUAUUAAUUCCCACUGAAGAUACUAUACGAACCAAACCAGCACAAUGGUCAUUGUCCAGAAUCUAUUGCGCCAACAUAUAUAUUUUACCAAUCAAGGCCAAUUUCAAAUGUCCAAAUCCCAGUAAUUCACACUAACAAUACUUACCGACUCGAUUCCAGAAUCAAUAUAAGUAGUAAGUGGAAUUUACGAACAUCAGUUAGUAACCAAACUUUAACAUAAUCACCAUCCAAAACUGGUAUGUUCGGUCUCAAAUACCACUAGUAUCUGAGAAAGGUCCUGUGGGACCACCUUUAAGGAAAUUCUUCCGAAAAUUCGGCAGAAUCUCCUUUAAAAGUGGACUACCCUUGACCUGUAAAAAUAAUACACAUAGCCCAACAUAAACAAAUCUCUGGAGCUUACUGCUCCCGAUAUAUCCACAUUGUCGAAUGGACUAUAUAAUCAUUCAUCUUAUAUCCAUAAAUGCAGAUUUUUUUUUAUUUUUUAUUUUUUAUUUUUUGCACAUCGGAUAUGUCAUUAACUCAUAUUUACUCAAUAGAGUAAUUCAUCAUUGCAAAUCAUGAAAACCGAUUAAUAAUAAUCAUAUAUGGAAAGCACGAUUAUAUUAAUAAGGUAUAAAACCAUACCUGCUCACUCAAGUGAGUCACAUUUUCCCGUUUUAUAGCAGCAUCGUGCAAUCCCCGCACACAGCGGUAAAACCCGACGCACAGCCAUCAACCCCACACUUGGUGGUAAUACCCCGCACUCUCGGUGGUGAAAAUCCGGCACACGGCCGUAAAACUUCGCACACGGCGAUACUGUAUCCCUACCCUGGGCAGUCAUCCCGGCACUCGGCCGUAAAUCUCCACACUCGGUGGCAAUCAUCUCAGAAGUCCGCAAUCAGAUCUGGCAUUGGCAGCAAUACCCGACAUUAUGUGGUAAAACCCGGCACUUGGCCAUAACCAGUGUGGUAAGCCUACGCCCCCCAGGCAAGACGUGGUCGCACCUACACUAAACCCCGCACGUGGCGGUAACCCAAUACAGUAUCCUACGCCCCCGAGGCAAGGCAAGGUCACACCCGUACUGUAAACCCAGCCGAAGCUGUAAACCCAGCAUAUAGCUGUAAAUCACCCCACACAACAUGCCAGAAGGGUAUAACCGCUAAUACCAAAGUUGGAAUCGCCUGCAUCAAACCACUAUACCAACAUUAGUAACAUGCUUAAACCGUUGCACAUACUAAUUGAGUUCAUGUAGAACAAUUAUAAUAUAACCGCUUGUAUCAAAUUAUUCAAGAAAUUUCUUUAAUACAUACCUGCAUCCUCGAGAGAAUUGCACUGCAUCAUACUUAUAGCAAGCAACUCAAAUAAAAGGAUUAGUGAUUUAUAUCAUAAAAUCACAUAUAUGAUGACCCAAGUCAUAGAUUAGUGUCAUGGUGUGGGUCCCAAUGACCACAACAUAAUAGCACAUGAUAAUAGUAUAGGUAAGGGUAAAAUAUUGUAUAGCCCUUUUGGUUUGAAGUUGACAUUUGUUUAGUCCUUAUGAUUUUAUUUUAAUCUGAAUAGUCCUUAAAAUCACGAUUUUUCAUCCAAAUGGUCCUUAUGGUUUUAUUUUAAUCUGAAUAAACCUUAAAGUCAUGAUUUUUCAUCCAAAUAGUCAUUAUGGCCUUUAACUGAGAAAAUGAAUCAGAAUGACUAUUUGGAUGAAAAAUCAUGACUUUAAGGACUAUUCAGAUUAAAAUAAAACCAUAAGAACUAUUUGGAUGAAAAAUUAUGAUUUUAAGGACUAUUUAGAUUAAAAUAAAACCACAAGGACUAAACAGAUGUAGACUUCAAACCACAAGGACUAAACAAAUUUCAAUUCUAUAGGUAAUUUACGUAAUACCAGAAUGAUAUUAACAUAACAUUCACCAACUCAAAUCAUGAUGAUAGUCAUGCAACUAAAUGAAUUAAGUGAUACAGGAGGAGGCACACAUAAUUAUAUACCACAUAAUCUAUAGAUAUAUAUACACAACUAGGUUGCCGUACCUGAUGUCCAGAAUUGUGUCCUUCUCAUCGUUCUAAUACCGAAGUGCUUAUAAACACAUCUCGAAACUUAAACGAUAGUAAGCACUUUAUUCACCUUGUCAACAUAUAUGAUCAUUUGUAGUCGAACAGUGCAAGUAACAUAAUAUACAUGUUCCAUGCACAAGUAUUUAAUGAAGAAGCUUCCUAGCUCAUACAUCAUCAAAAGUAUAUAAGUUCCUUAGAAAUCAAACUCACACCACAAAGUAGCUCACUAUCAGUUAUUCAUCACAAAUAACACAUGGUUCAAAUAAAACUGAUAACUAGUUGUCAUAAUAUCAUCCGGUUUCAUUCUUCAACUUAAGGAUAGUUCUGAGAGACAUGCUUCUCUCAUAAUUCUCAAUACAUAAGUACAACAUCAAAUUUCACAUGGAAGGAGUAUUGAAACCUAGGUUAAGUCUUGUGCCAUCCAGGCAUACUGAUUCUCAACCUAAGACAAGAAAAUUUCGUAAAAAGAUUCCGUCAAGAAAAGAAAACGUAGAUAUACCAACAAUGGUCUACAUGAUAUUCCCGCAGACAAGAUUUCCCAAGUGCUCAUUUUAGAUCAGUAAUCCAAACCUAAUUUAAACCAAACCAAGAAGACGUUCCUCUAAAGUUUCAAAACCAAAUGUCAACAUAAUAGAAAUAUAGAAUCAAAUAUAGCAUUAGGCAUCCACAUAACCGUAGAAACGAACCAAGCAUUCAUCAAACCACCCAAAUCAAACCAAAUAAUAGCAAAGGGAUGCAAUAGUCAAACACUGUUAUAGCAUACCAAAAACAAACAACUCAACACCACAAAUUAUUGGAGCGACCAUGGAAGCCAUCAGUCUAUUCGUUCAUAAAAUAAACGAAGUUUGUUUGCAACUUGCAAAAAUUAAGAACCUUGUACCAGACCAUAUAAGAGCAAGAUAAGUCAAUAUAAUGCAAUCGUGGUAGCUACUGACUACCUAAAAGUUCCAAAAUCCUUUCCCCUCUACCUGUUCACCCCAAGGGAUCCUAUCCCCGCACUGAUACCAAUUUGUAACACCCUGACCCAGGUGUUAGGAAAAAUAAACGAAUAAAAUAACUAAGAAAAUUCUAAAUCGAAACGGUGGUAGGACCUCAAAACAAACAAAAGGUUUGUUGUGUUUGAAACCUAAAUUUAUUUUGUUAAUUUGCGGCUGCACCCAAAACUCGAUCGGGUUGCCUACGUACCCUCUUAAAGGGAUCAAGCCACUCGUAGUUCAUCAUUUUAUACUAAUUCUCCACCUUCAAUAACAACUGUGUCGAAUCUGGAAUUUGUGUGGGUGUAAGUCCUCAAAUUGAUAAGAACACCCAAGUUCUCAAUCCCACACUUCCUCUCACUUUCUCCGAUAGUUUCCUAAUUACAUACCAUGCUCGGUCAUAUUAAGUUCAUCGUCACAUUCCAAUUCAC
rnacentral:lncRNA from 1 species